rnacentral:rRNA from 1 species
GAUGAACGCUGGCGGCGUGCCUAAUACAUGCAAGUCGAGCGAACAGACGAGGAGCUUGCUCCUCUGACGUUAGCGGCGGACGGGUGAGUAACACGUGGAUAACCUACCUAUAAGACUGGGAUAACUUCGGGAAACCGGAGCUAAUACCGGAUAAUAUAUUGAACCGCAUGGUUCCAUAGUGAAAGACGGUUUUGCUGUCACUUAUAGAUGGAUCCGCGCCGCAUUAGCUAGUUGGUAAGGUAACGGCUUACCAAGGCAACGAUGCGUAGCCGACCUGAGAGGGUGAUCGGCCACACUGGAACUGAGACACGGUCCAGACUCCUACGGGAGGCAGCAGUAGGGAAUCUUCCGCAAUGGGCGAAAGCCUGACGGAGCAACGCCGCGUGAGUGAUGAAGGUCUUCGGAUCGUAAAACUCUGUUAUUAGGGAAGAACAAAGGUGUAAGUAACUAUGCACGUCUUGACGGUACCUAAUCAGAAAGCCACGGCUAACUACGUG